AACGCACGAGACCUGCGGACCUGCGGAGGGAUCAUUAAUGAAUAAACUUGUGGGUUGUUGCUGACCUCUUGGGGUAUGUGCACACCUGCCAUUGUUUCAUUCUCCCUUCCACCUGUGCACUCCCUGUAGACCGAGCUGCUGCAACUUCAGGUGCAUAUUAUGCACCUGGUAUAAGGACUUGCUCCCCUUGCUGUCCUUGAGCGGUAGUCUAGGUUUACGUCUUUACCAACUCCAUUGUAU
rnacentral:misc_RNA from 1 species